UACAGAGGUGGCAAGCGUUGUUCGGAAUUACUGGGCGUAAAGAGCGCGUAGGCGGCUUACCAAGUUGGGGGUGAAAUCCCGGAGCUCAACUCCGGAACUGCCUUCAAAACUGGUAGGCUCGAGUCCGGAAGAGGGGCGUGGAAUUCCCAGUGUAGAGGUGAAAUUCGUAGAUAUUGGGAAGAACACCGGUGGCGAAGGCGGCGCCCUGGUCCGGUACUGACGCUGAGGCGCGAAAGCGUGGGGAGCAAACAGG
rnacentral:rRNA from 1 species